rnacentral:rRNA from 1 species
UACAGAGGUCUCAACCGUUGUCCGGAUUCAUUGGGCGUAAAGGGUGCGUAGGCGGUCGCGCAAGUCGGAUGUGAAAUCUCAGGGCUCAACCCUGAAACUGCAUUCGAUACUGCGUGGCUAGAGUGCUGGAGAGGAGACUGGAAUUUACGGUGUAGCAGUGAAAUGCGUAGAUAUCGUAAGGAAGACCAGUGGCGAAGGCGAGUCUCUGGACAGCAACUGACGCUGAGGCACGAAGGCCAGGGGAGCAAACGGG